AUUGAACGCUGGCGGCAGGCCUAACACAUGCAAGUCGAACGAGUGGCGGACGGGUGCGUAAUGUCUGGGAAACUGCCUGAUGGAGGGGGAUAACUACUGUAAACGGUAGCUAAUACCGCAUACCAUCAGAUGUGCCCAGAUGGGAGUAGCUAGUUGGGGGGGUAACGGCUCACCAAGGCGACGAUCCCUAGCUGGGAUGGGAGGAUGACCAGACACACUGGAACUGAUAAACGGUCCAGACUCCUACGGGAGGCAGCAGUGGGGAAGAUUGCACAAUGGGCGCAAGCCUUAUGCAGCCAUGCCGCGUGUAUGAAGAAGGCCUUCGGGUUGUAAAGUACUUUCAGCGGGGAGGCGUUACCCGCAGAAGAAGCCCCGGCUAACUCCGUGCCAGCAGCCGCGGUAAUUC
rnacentral:rRNA from 1 species